CAGUACGGGGACGAAUGCUGAAUAUGAUUAAAAAUUCAUUUUCACGGUGCACUUUUCAAGGAAAACUGGACUUUAAGGCAACAGUGUUGCUGGCUGAGUGGUUUCUCAACACGAAAAACAAAUUUUUGGACACUUUCAGAGUGGCACGUAUGUGCGCUACUGCUAGCAAAACAGACAAGCUGGAGGUCUGCAUCAGCAUCUGUGACAUGCUGCCGACACCUCGCCCAACCGGGAAACGCCGUCACGCCAUCCGAAGAUCGCCGCGUUCCUGUCCCAAAGGCAUGAAUGAGUGGAGAAUAAAAAUAUGAAUCAACAGGAAGGUCAUGGUUUAAAGAAAUCGAAGGUGAGCGGGAAAUCUUGCUACCUUCGACCUCAUCACUCACAAUGUCCUCGGGGAGGACAGACAUUGGGCUGGGCCGUACGGCCAUCUUAUAUUCUUCCACAAAAAAUAAGAUUUAAAGAAAAAAGGAGUGUCGCAGAUAUAACCAGCAGAUAUGCAAGAAAGUUACUUUUACCAACUAUAUUUGAGGGGUACGUGGCUGUGUUUUGAGUCAUUCCACAGAAAUGCUGUUUUUGAGGAUAUUUUCC